rnacentral:rRNA from 1 species
AUGACUGCCGUGGCAAACGCACAUACCAUGCAUCCCGAGCUUCUGAAGGCGGCAUGCCAUGGCAGCUGCACGGAACUGACGAACCUUCUGGACGGAGGAGCGGUCGACGAGCCUUCUGAGGUCGUCGUCGACAUCGACCGCCACGGCCCCGCGCGCUCACCAUCGCCGUCCUUGCUCCUGAAAGGGGUCACCCCAGACGGGGACUCUGCACUCCACAUCGUAGCCGCCUACGGGGACCUGGAUAAAGCCAGGACAGUCUACGGCAAGGCGCCACACCUCUUGGGCGCACGCAAUAGCAGCGGCAGCACGCCCUUGCACUGCGCUGCCAGGGCCGGCCACGCCGCGAUGGCCGCUCUCCUCGUUGAGCUGGCCAGAGGGGAAGAAGUCGCUGGUGAAGAUGGAAGGGUGGAGAAGCUGGUGAGGAAGCAGAACGAGCUCGGGGAGACAGCCCUGCAUGAGGCCAUCCGCGCUGGUCACAUGCUCACCGUGGAUGAGCUGAUGACGGCGGACCCGUUCCUCGCUCGUGUUCCGGAGAAUGGAACCUCGCCGUUGUUCCUCGCCGUCUCUCUGCGACAUGAAAAAAUUGUGCGGGAGCUCUACGAGAGAGACAAGAAGUUGUCAUACUCCGGGCCAGAUGGACAGAAUGCUCUUCAUGCUGCAGUUCUUCGAAGCAGAGGUAUGGCAGAAGCACUGCUGAACUGGAACAAGGAGCUUACUAAAAAGCGAGACCAACAUGGAAAUACACCUCUACACUUUGCGGUAUCAUUAGAAACUGGCACACGUGGUAUGCUUCCCCAAUAUGCCGUGCCAGUGGUAAAUGGAACAAGUAUUACAAGUUUUCUGAAUGUAAUGGAAACACCAGCGGACCUUACCAUGCAAAUAUUGGAAGCGGAUGCAUAUUUAGCAUAUCAACCGGACAAAGAAGGGUCAUUCCCCAUACAUGUCGCUGCAUUAGCAGGGAGACUUUCAUCUGUCAUCAUCUUACUUUCAAAGUGUCCAGGUUGUGCUAGCUUACGUGACACCCAUGGGAGAACUUUUCUCCAUGUGGCUGUCAUGAAGAAGAAAUAUGAUAUAGUUCGGUAUGCCUGCCGGACACCCCUGUUUUCGUCAAUUAUGAACAAGCAAGAUAAUGAGGGAAACACUGCAUUACAUCUAGCUGUGGAGGUUGGCGAUUGGUGGAGUUUCACUUGUCUCUUCGCAAACAAAAAAGUAGAUUUGAAUCUACCAAACAAUAAGCAACAUACCCCGCGAGAAAUUUCAGUUAACAGUACUCCCACCGGGUUAUACUGCCUGCUGCACUCACGGAUUUUGAUACAGCAAGCUCUAAUAUCUGCCGAUGCUACACUUCGUAUUUGUCGCCGGGAUAUCAUGACGAAAGGACCUAGUACCCAAUCUGACGCUGAGAUUGAUGCGGUAAUAUCAAACUCAACGCAGUUUCUCGGCCUUGGCUUAGUAUUAAUUACGACAAUGGCUUUUGGUGCUGCUUUUGCCUUACCUGGGGGUUACAGAGCUGAUGACCACCUUAAGGGAGGAACACCAACUCUGUCUACCGAAAGAGUUUUCCAAGGAUUCUUGAUGGCGAAUGCAUUGGCAUUUAUAUGCUCGUCGUUAGCCGUCCUAAGCCUUGUGUUUGCAGGAACACCUACAGUUGAAAUACCCAUGCGCUACGUGCACUACAAUAUAUCCAUAUGGUUAUCUUUCAAUGGAGUUUUAUCUUUGGGGACGGCCUUCAUAUUGGCUAUAUACAUCAUGAUCACCCCAGUUAUUUCUGGAACUGCUAUUAUGGUCAUGGUGGUGUUUUCUUCCUUGGAAAUCAUCUAUAUGCCAUCAUUAGUUGAGAAGCUUGUUAAAUUCAUGAUAGUGGUAUGUGGUAGAGUAGGAAUAUUGCCAGUAAUGCUAAGAUCUGAGAUGCCAAAGGUAAUGUUGCUUACAAUUUGGCCCCUCAUUGUAAUCUUUGGAUGGCAAGAAUAUGCAUGGCGACACAUGUGGCAUUAUGUACCUGUAGCAGAGAAACUGGUCACUUGA